rnacentral:rRNA from 1 species
CAAUAGCGUAUAUUAAAGUUGUUGCAGUUAAAAAGCUCGUAGUUGGAUUUCUGGUGGGAGCGAUCGGUCUGGCGCUUAGCGCGAGUACUUGCAUCGUCUCCGGCCAUCCUUGGGGAGAGUCUGUCUGGCAUUAGGUUGUCGGGCAGAGGAUCCUCAUCGUUUACUGUGAAAAAAUUAGAGUGUUCAAAGCAGGCUUAUGCCGUUGAAUAUAUUAGCAUGGAAUAAUAAGAUAGGACUUUGGUACUAUUUUGUUGGUUUGCGCACCAAAGUAAUGAUUAAUAGGGACAGUUGGGGGUAUUCGUAUUCCGAUGUCAGAGGUGAAAUUCUUGGAUUUACGGAAGACGAACUACUGCGAAAGCAUUUACCAAGGAUGUUUUCAUUAA